GAUGAACGCUGGCGGCGCGCCUAACACAUGCCAGUCGAACGGUUAAAGCACCUUUUAGGUGUGUAUAAAGUGGCGAACGGCUGAGUAACACGUUGGCAACCUGCCCUCCUCUUGGGGAUAGCCUCGGGAAACCGAGGAUAAUACCCGAUACUUCAAUGUGGCCGCAUGACGACAUUGAGAAAGCUUUUGCGGAGAAGGAUGGGCCCGCGGCCUGUUAGCUUGUUGGUGGGGUAGAGGCCUACCAAGGCAAUGAUGGGUAGCUGGGUUGAGAGACCGACCAGCCAGAUUGGGACUGAGAAACGGCCCAGACUCCUACGGGAGGCAGGAGGGGGGAAGCUUGCACAAUGGGCGAAAGCCUGAUGCAGCGAAGCCGCGUGCGGGACGAAGGCCUUCGGGUUGGAAACCGCUUUCAGCAGGGACGAGGCGAUAAGUGACGGUACCUGCAGAAGAAGCCCCGGCUAACUACGUG
rnacentral:rRNA from 1 species